AAUACCAGCACCCCGAGUUGUCGGGACGAUUAUUGGGCCUAAAGCAUCCGUAGCCUGUUCUGCAAGUCCUCCGUUAAAUCCACCUGCUCAACGGAUGGGCUGCGGAAGAUACUACAGAGCUAGGAGGCGGGAGAGGCAAGCGGUACUCGAUGGGUAGGGGUAAAAUCCGUUGAUCCAUUGAAGACCACCAGUGGCGAAGGCGGCUUGCCAGAACGCGCUCGACGGUGAGGGAUGAAAGCUGGGGGAGCAAACC
rnacentral:rRNA from 1 species